CAGUAUAAUUUGGAAAUUUCAGGCACCAAAUACCAGAAAAGAAACAUAGCGACAUAUUAAGCGUAACAACCUCCAUAAAAGACACCCCUAAAUCGAAAAUAAAAUAACAUCCAAUGAAUGAUGAAAUAUUUACCCAGCUCGCUUUGAUCUUAAGUGAAGAAAACUUCCGAACCAACGCAAAAGAAGUCUCUGAACCCAAACUAAUAUAAAAUGUUUUCGAUUUGGUGUAAACUUUUUUAAUAGCGUUAUGUAUUUCUCUUACAGAACGCAGUGGAUGGAAUUAUCAUUUUGCCCCUUCAUUCAAUCAGUCGAAGCGUCGCUUUCGCACACGCAAUUCUAGAUUCAAAAUACGAUUUGUUAUUUAGGUUUUGAAACGCGUAAAGAAUUUAACUGCGCACACUGCUUGAGGAACUUUCAGGUUUUGAAAUGUGAAAAGAAUUUAACAGCGGACGCUGCUUGAUGAACUUUGAGAACGCAGUGGAUGGAAUUAUCAUUUUGCCCCUUCAUUCAAUCAGUCGAAGCGUCGCUUUCGCACACGCAAUUCUAGAUUCAAAAUACGAUUUGUUAUUUAGGUUUUGAAACGCGUAAAGAAUUUAACUGCGCACACUGCUUGAGGAACUUUCAGGUUUUGAAAUGUGAAAAGAAUUUAACAGCGGACGCUGCUUGAGGAACUUUGAGAACGCAGUGGAUGGAAUUAUCAUUUUGCCCCUUCAUUCAAUCAGUCGAAGCGUCGCUUUCGCACACGCAAUUCUAGAUUCAAAAUACGAUUUGUUAUUUAGGUUUUGAAACGCGUAAAGAAUUUAACUGCGCACACUGCUUGAGGAACUUUCAGGUUUUGAAAUGUGAAAAGAAUUUAACAGCGGACGCUGCUUGAGGAACUUUGAGAACGCAGUGGAUGGAAUUAUCAUUUUGCCCCUUCAUUCAAUCAGUCGAAGCGUCGCUUUCGCACACGCAAUUCUAGAUUCAAAAUACGAUUUGUUAUUUAGGUUUUGAAACGCGUAAAGAAUUUAACUGCGCACACUGCUUGAGGAACUUUCAGGUUUUGAAAUGUGAAAAGAAUUUAACAGCGGACGCUGCUUGAGGAACUUUGAGAACGCAGUGGAUGGAAUUAUCAUUUUGCCCCCUUCAUUCAAUCAGUCGAAGCGUCGCUUUCGCACACGCAAUUCUAGAUUCAAAAUACGAUUUGUUAUUUAGGUUUUGAAACGCGUAAAGAAUUUAACUGCGCACACUGCUUGAGGAACUUUCAGGUUUUGAAAUGUGAAAAGAAUUUAACAGCGGACGCUGCUUGAGGAACUUUGAGAACGCAGUGGAUGGAAUUAUCAUUUUGCCCCUUCAUUCAAUCAGUCGAAGCGUCGCUUUCGCACACGCAAUUCUAGAUUCAAAAUACGAUUUGUUAUUUAGGUUUUGAAACGCGUAAAGAAUUUAACUGCGCACACUGCUUGAGGAACUUUCAGGUUUUGAAAUGUGAAAAGAAUUUAACAGCGGACGCUGCUUGAGGAACUUUGAGAACGCAGUGGAUGGAAUUAUCAUUUUGCCCCUUCAUUCAAUCAGUCGAAGCGUCGCUUUCGCACACGCAAUUCUAGAUUCAAAAUACGAUUUGUUAUUUAGGUUUUGAAACGCGUAAAGAAUUUAACUGCGCACACUGCUUGAGGAACUUUCAGGUUUUGAAAUGUGAAAAGAAUUUAACAGCGGACGCUGCUUGAGGAACUUUGAGAACGCAGUGGAUGGAAUUAUCAUUUUGCCCCUUCAUUCAAUCAGUCGAAGCGUCGCUUUCGCACACGCAAUUCUAGAUUCAAAAUACGAUUUGUUAUUUAGGUUUUGAAACGCGUAAAGAAUUUAACUGCGCACACUGCUUGAGGAACUUUCAGGUUUUGAAAUGUGAAAAGAAUUUAACAGCGGACGCUGCUUGAGGAACUUUGAGAACGCAGUUGAUGGGAUUAUCAUUUUGCCACACACAUUCAAUCAGUCGAAGCACCACUUUCGCACACGCAAUUCUAGAUUCAAAAUACGAUUUGUUAUUUAGGUUUUGAAAUGUGCAAAGAAUUUAACAGCGGACACUGCUUGAGGAACUUUCAGGUUUUGAAAUGUGAAAAGAAUUUAACAGCGGACACUGCUUGAGGAACUUUGAGAACGCAGUUGAUGGGAUUAUCAUUUUGCCACACACAUUCAAUCAGUCGAAGCACCACUUUCGCACACGCAAUUCUAGAUUCAAAAUACGAUUUGUUAUUUAGGUUUUGAAAUGUGCAAAGAAUUUAACAGCGGACACUGCUUGAGGAACUUUCAGAACGCAGUUGAUGGGAUUAUCAUUUUGCCACACACAUUCAAUCAGUCGAAGCACCACUUUCGCACACGCAAUUCUAGAUUCAAAAUACGAUUUGUUAUUUAGGUUUUGAAAUGUGCAAAGAAUUUAACAGCGGACACUGCUUGAGGAACUUUCAGAACGCAGUGGAUGGAAUUAUCAUUUUGCCCCUUCAUUCAAUCAGUCGAAGCGUCGCUUUCGCACACGCAAUUCUAGAUUCAAAAUACGAUUUGUUAUUUAGGUUUUGAAACGCGUAAAGAAUUUAACUGCGCACACUGCUUGAGGAACUUUCAGGUUUUGAAAUGUGAAAAGAAUUUAACAGCGGACGCUGCUUGAGGAACUUUGAGAACGCAGUUGAUGGGAUUAUCAUUUUGCCACACACAUUCAAUCAGUCGAAGCACCACUUUCGCACACGCAAUUCUAGAUUCAAAAUACGAUUUGUUAUUUAGGUUUUGAAAUGUGCAAAGAAUUUAACAGCGGACACUGCUUGAGGAACUUUCAGGUUUUGAAAUGUGAAAAGAAUUUAACAGCGGACACUGCUUGAGGAACUUUGAGAACGCAGUUGAUGGGAUUAUCAUUUUGCCACACACAUUCAAUCAGUCGAAGCACCACUUUCGCACACGCAAUUCUAGAUUCAAAAUACGAUUUGUUAUUUAGGUUUUGAAAUGUGCAAAGAAUUUAACAGCGGACACUGCUUGAGGAACUUUCAGAACGCAGUUGAUGGGAUUAUCAUUUUGCCACACACAUUCAAUCAGUCGAAGCACCACUUUCGCACACGCAAUUCUAGAUUCAAAAUACGAUUUGUUAUUUAGGUUUUGAAAUGUGCAAAGAAUUUAACAGCGGACACUGCUUGAGGAACUUUCAGAACGCAGUGGAUGGAAUUAUCAUUUUGCCCCUUCAUUCAAUCAGUCGAAGCGUCGCUUUCGCACACGCAAUUCUAGAUUCAAAAUACGAUUUGUUAUUUAGGUUUUGAAACGCGUAAAGAAUUUAACUGCGCACACUGCUUGAGGAACUUUCAGAACGCAGUUGAUGGGAUUAUCAUUUUGCCACACACAUUCAAUCAGUCGAAGCACCACUUUCGCACACGCAAUUCUAGAUUCAAAAUACGAUUUGUUAUUUAGGUUUUGAAACGCGUAAAGAAUUUAACUGCGCACACUGCUUGAGGAACUUUCAGAACGCAGUGGAUGGAAUUAUCAUUUUGCCCCUUCAUUCAAUCAGUCGAAGCGUCGCUUUCGCACACGCAAUUCUAGAUUCAAAAUACGAUUUGUUAUUUAGGUUUUGAAACGCGUAAAGAAUUUAACUGCGCACACUGCUUGAGGAACUUUCAGAACGCAGUUGAUGGGAUUAUCAUUUUGCCACACACAUUCAAUCAGUCGAAGCACCACUUUCGCACACGCAAUUCUAGAUUCAAAAUACGAUUUGUUAUUUAGGUUUUGAAAUGGGCAAAGAAUUUAACAGCGGACACUGCUUGAGGAACUUUCAGGUGCAUAAGUUAACAAAUUUAAAUUAAGCAAGGUAACAUGGUUAUUUAUUUUCGAUAUUGGAUCUGUUUCAAGUGUAUUUUAGUCCACUAGAACGACUUUUUAGUUAAUAUACGGCUCGAUUUUACCUCAAUAAAUAAA